AUUGAACGCUGGCGGCAGGCCUAACACAUGCAAGUCGAGCGGAUGAAGGGAGCUUGCUCCUGGAUUCAGCGGCGGACGGGUGAGUAAUGCCUAGGAGUCUGCCUGGUAGUGGGGGAUAACGUCCUGAAACGGGCGCUAAUACCGCAUACGUCCUGAGGGAGAAAGUGGGUGAUCUUCUGACCUCACGCUAUCAGAUGAGCCUAGGUCGGAUUAGCUAGUUGGUGGGGUAAAGGCCUACCAAGGCGACGAUCCGUAACUGGUCUGAGAGGAUGAUCAGUCACACUGGAACUGAGAAACGGUCCAGACUCCUACGGGAGGCAGCAGUGGGGAAUAUUGGACAAUGGGCGAAAGCCUGAUCCAGCCAUGCCGCGUGUGUGAAGAAGGUCUUCGGAUUGUAAAGCACUUUAAGUUGGGAGGAAGGGCAGUAAGUUAAUACCUUGCUGUUUUGACGUUACCAACAGAAUAAGCACCGGCUAACUUCGUG
rnacentral:rRNA from 1 species